UACGGAGGGUGCAAGCGUUAUCCGGAUUCACUGGGUUUAAAGGGUGCGUAGGAGGGCAGGUAAGUCAGUGGUGAAAUCUCCAAGCUUAACUUGGAACUGCCGUUGAUACUAUCUGUCUUGAAUAUUGUGGAGGUGAGCGGAAUAUGUCAUGUAGCGGUGAAAUGCUUAGAUAUGACAUAGAACACCAAUUGCGAAGGCAGCUCACUACACAAUCAUUGACUCUGAGGCACGAAAGCGUGGGGAUCAAACAGG
rnacentral:rRNA from 1 species